GAAUGGGACACAAACACCACCAAGUGCUUAAUAACAUAUGCAAAUAUUGGCACACUUAUUAUGCAUGAUUUUAGUUGUUAUUACUUUUUUCUUUCAUAACUGUGCGUUGGCACCUCAGCAUUUCAUUAUAUUUCGUAUUCAUUGUGCAGGGCACUUCCCAAGUGUUAAUUUAACAACCAGGCGUGGUGGAGAGUAGGAUGGUCAAUGGGAGAAGCGUGUAACAGCGAUGCUUCCAUGUAGUCACACAGGCUCUAUGUGUGACUAUAUUCACAUUUCAGAUGCUGAGCUUUGCAGUUACCCUUUGAGAGGAAAGAGCUGCUAGUGUUUUAUCUCUAACUUUCUCAUUAUCCCCAAUAGUGAGUCUUAAAAAGAAGGCAAUGGAUAUCCAGCUCAGUUCAGGCAUGAGCAGGUUGUCCUUUUGCAAGAUGUCGCAGGUGAUUUCAGGUGAAACUCCUCCUUAACAUCAAAGAGGCCACAAUUCCUCUUGCAAACUGGGUUUGCUUUUUCGAAAAGGAAUCAAUGAACCCAAUCCUCAGCAAAACUGAUUCAGGGAGAAGGUUGUUAAGGCCACAGUUUGGAAAACUGAACUGCCUUAAUCCAUGAAGUCACACCAUUUACAGGUAGCCCCAGACCUUUAUGUAGUAAGUAGCCCUGCUGGGAAGCACCAUGAUUGUCAUCAGCAUGAACAAGGGAGAUUUCACUCACCACCGCCCUAAACAAUAUCAUCUUUGUGGCCAGGCAUGUGAAGCUGUAAAAUUCUGCAGUCAUUAGGGGAAGAAGAAUGUCACAGUUUUUGCAGGAGAAAAAUAGAUGCCAGAAUCCUCGCUUUGACAGGGCCUCAUCUGGCAAGAUGCUGAGUGGACUAACGUGGCCGGGUGAGAUCCGAGAGCGCUCAGCACCUCGAGGGAGAAAUUCCAGACCUUGCAGCAACUGCACCUCCCUCCACACAGCCUGUCUGCGGUCAUUUCUAUAGCCCUUUGUCCCAGUCAGAGCUCACGUUUGCUUAUCAUCUUUUCCAUCACAAACACCAAAGCUAAAUGCGGAUCUCCCACCGAUCUCGCCAACACGUGCUGACAAGCCUUUCAUCUCAAAGGGACUACAGAGCCUGACAGCUUCCCAGACUCCUGAAAUGCUGAAUACAUAUCCAUAAUUUAACCUCUGCCUCUCAGCCUGCUUCAGGACUCAUACGUGGCAUUGUCUGUGGAAUGAAAGUGAUGGGAUCCUGGGACGUAAGUGAA